rnacentral:rRNA from 1 species
GAUGAACGCUGGCGGCGUGCUUAACACAUGCAAGUCGAACGAUGAAGCCCAGCUCGCUGGGUGGAUUAGUGGCGAACGGGUGAGUAACACGUGAGUAACCUGCCCUUAACUCUGGGAUAAGCCUGGGAAACUGGGUCUAAUACCGGAUAGGAGCGUCCACCGCAUGGUGGGUGUUGGAAAGAUUUAUCGGUUUUGGAUGGACUCGCGGCCUAUCAGCUUGUUGGUGAGGUAAUGGCUCACCAAGGCGACGACGGGUAGCCGGCCUGAGAGGGUGACCGGCCACACUGGGACUGAGACACGGCCCAGACUCCUACGGGAGGCAGCAGUGGGGAAUAUUGCACAAUGGGCGAAAGCCUGAUGCAGCGACGCCGCGUGAGGGAUGACGGCCUUCGGGUUGUAAACCUCUUUCAGUAGGGAAGAAGCGAAAGUGACGGUACCUGCAGAAGAAGCACCGGCUAACUACGUG